CUGGAGCUCACGGGGCAUAUGAAGAACUGACACUUGCUGUUAUGUAUUGUUUUGGGUGCUAAUAGCAUUUGUGACCAGUCAUCCACAGUUUUUGCAGGCUGCCCAGAUAGUGACAGAGAGUAAGUUAUGCAUUUAUUACAAAUUCUUAAACUGCUGCAGAUACUACUGUUGUUAUUCGGUAGCACCUAGAAUGUCCAGUUGAAAGCUGUGUUCCCACCAUGCCUGAGC